rnacentral:rRNA from 1 species
UACGUAGGGUGCGAGCGUUAAUCGGAAUUACUGGGCGUAAAGCGUGCGCAGGCGGUUUGUUAAGACAGAUGUGAAAUCCCCGGGCUUAACCUGGGAACUGCAUUUGUGACUGCAUCGCUGGAGUGCGGCAGAGGGGGAUGGAAUUCCGCGUGUAGCAGUGAAAUGCGUAGAUAUGCGGAGGAACACCGAUGGCGAAGGCAAUCCCCUGGGCCUGCACUGACGCUCAUGCACGAAAGCGUGGGGAGCAAACAGG